AUGAACGCUGGCGGCGUGCCUAAUCCAUGCAAGUCGAGCGCACGGACGAGAAGCUUGCUUCUCUGAUGUUAGCGGCGGACGGGUGAGUAACACGUGGAUAACCUACCUAUAAGACUGGGAUAACUUCGGGAAACCGUAGCUAAUACCGGAUAAUAUUUUGAACCGCAUGGUUCAAAAGUGAAAGACGGUCUUGCUGUCACUUAUAGAUGGAUCCGCGCUGCAUUAGCUAGUUGGUAAGGUAACGGCUUACCAAGGCAACGAUGCAUAGCCGACCUGAGAGGGUGAUCGGCCACACUGGAACUGAGACACGGUCCAGACUCCUACGGGAGGCAGCAGUAGGGAAUCUUCCGCAAUGGGCGAAAGCCUGACGGAGCAACGCCGCGUGAGUGAUGAAGGUCUUCGGAUCGUAAAACUCUGUUAUUAGGGAAGAACAUAUGUGUAAGUAACUGUGCACAUCUUGACGGUACCUAAUCAGAAAGCCACGGCUAACUACGUG
rnacentral:rRNA from 1 species